CAAGAUAAGCCAUGCAUGUCUAAGUAUAAGCAAUUAUACCGUGAAACUGCGAAUGGCUCAUUAAAUCAGUUAUCGUUUAUUUGAUAGUACCUUACUACUUGGAUAACCGUGGUAAUUCUAGAGCUAAUACAUGCUAAAAACCCCAACUUCGGGAGGGGUGUAUUUAUUAGAUAAAAAACCAAUGCCCUUCGGGGCUCCUUGGUGAUUCAUGAUAACUUCUCAGAUCGCAUAGCCUUGAGCUGGCGACGGUUCAUUCAAAUUUCUGCCCUAUCAACUUUCGAUGGUAAGGUAGUGGCUUACCAUGGUUGCAACGGGUAACGGGGAAUUAGGGUUCGAUUCCGGAGAGGGAGCCUGAGAAACGGCUACCACAUCCAAGGAAGGCAGCAGGCGCGCAAAUUACCCAAUUCCGAUACGGAGAGGUAGUGACAAUAAAUACUGAUACAGGGCUCUUUUGGGUCUUGUAAUUGGAAUGAGUACAAUUUAAACCUCUUAACGAGGAACAAUUGGAGGGCAAGUCUGGUGCCAGCAGCCGCGGUAAUUCCAGCUCCAAUAGCGUAUAUUAAAGUUGUUGCAGUUAAAAAGCUCGUAGUUGAACCUUUGGCCUGGCUGGCAGGUCCGCCUCACCGCGUGCACUUGUCCGGCCGGGCCUUUUCUUCUGGAGAACCGCAUGCCCUUCACUGGGUGUGUUGGGGACCAGGACUUUUACUUUGAAAAAAUUAGAGUGUUCAAAGCAGGCCUUUGCUCGAAUACGUUAGCAUGGAAUAAUAGAAUAGGACGUGCGGUCCUAUUUUGUUGGUUUCUAGGACCGCCGUAAUGAUUAAUAGGGACAGUUGGGGGCAUCAGUAUUCAAUUGUCAGAGGUGAAAUUCUUGGAUUUAUUGAAGACUAACUACUGCGAAAGCAUUUGCCAAAGAUGUUUUCAUUAAUCAGUGAACGAAAGUUAGGGGAUCGAAGACGAUCAGAUACCGUCGUAGUCUUAACCAUAAACUAUGCCGACUAGGGAUCGGGCGGUGUUUCUAAUGUGACCCGCUCGGCCCUUACGAGAAAUCAAAGGGUUGGGUUCUGGGGGGAAUAUGGUCGCAAGGUGAACUAAGAGAUUUGUGGCGGAAAGA
rnacentral:rRNA from 1 species